GACGAACCACACAAACGUUAUUCGGAAUUACUGGGCUUAAAGGGUGCGUAGGCGGCGCGGAAAGUUGGGUGUGAAAUCCCUCGGCUCAACCGAGGAACUGCGCCCAAAACUACCGUGCUCGAGGGAGAUAGAGGUGAGCGGAACUUAGGGUGGAGCGGUGAAAUGCGUAGAGAUCCCCAAGAACACCAGUUGCGAAGGCGGCUGACUGGACACAUAUUGACGCUGAGGCUCGAAAGCAUGGGGAGCAAACAGG
rnacentral:rRNA from 1 species